GAUGAACGCUGGCGGCGUGCCUAAUACAUGCAAGUCGAGCGAACGGACGAGAAGCUUGCUUCUCUGAUGUUAGCGGCGGACGGGUGAGUAACACGUGGAUAACCUACCUAUAAGACUGGGAUAACUUCGGGAAACCGUAGCUAAUACCGGAUAAUAUUUUGAACCGCAUGGUUCAAAAGUGAAAGACGGUCUUGCUGUCACUUAUAGAUGGAUCCGCGCUGCAUUAGCUAGUUGGUAAGGUAACGGCUUACCAAGGCAACGAUGCAUAGCCGACCUGAGAGGGUGAUCGGCCACACUGGAACUGAGACACGGUCCAGGCUCCUACGAGAGGCAGCAGUAGGGAAUCGUCCGCAAUGGGCGGGAGCCUGACGGAGCAGCGCCGCGUGAGUGAUGAAGAUCUUCGGAUCGUAAAACUCUGUUAUUAGGGAAGAACAUAUGUGUAAGUAACUGUGCACAUCUUGACGGUACCUGAUCAGAAAGCCACGGCUAACUACGUG
rnacentral:rRNA from 1 species